CUCCCAGGUGAAGUCUGGGUCAUCCCUUCCGAAAUGCCCAUAGGCCGCGGUCUUCAAGAACCUACCAUUGCCUCCUCUUUUCAGAUCAAGAUUGAUGGAGAUCAUUCCGGGCCUGAAGUCGAAGGUUUCCUUUACGAUCUUUAGGAUUUCCCUGUCGGGGAUUUUUCCAGUUCCAUAGGUGUCGACGAAGACUGACAGAGGCUCUGGAACACCAAUAGCAUAAGAUACCUGCACAAUGCACCUACGAGCAAGUCCAUUGGCUACAAUGCUCUUGGCAGCUUGCCUGACAAUAUAUGCACCACUUCUGUCCACCUUUGUGGGGUCCUUUCCGGAGAAAGCACCACCACCGUGAGCUCCCCAGCCACCAUAAGUGUCGAUAAUGAUCUUGCGACCUGUUAGACCAGCAUCACCAUGGGGGCCUCCAAUUACAAAGCGGCCUGAAGGGUUGAGGUGAAAGAUGGUCUUCUCAUCAAGAUACUUCUCUGGGAUGACGGGCUUGAUUACAUGCUCUUUGAGGUCAGCAGCAAUCUCAUCGUUGGUAACAGUCUCGUCGUGCUGGGUGGAAAUGAGGACAGUGUGAACACGGGUUGGAACCAUGGCACCAUUCUCAUUUAGGUACUCAACAGUGACCUGGGUCUUGCCAUCAGGUCUCAACCACGCGCAUGUACCAUUCUUGCGGACAUCAGUAAGGCGAGCGCCAAGUUUGGUUGCAAGAACAUGGCUCAGAGGCAUAAGCUCAGGGGUCUCGUCAGUGGCAUAGCCAAACAUAUGGCCCUGGUCACCUGCGCCAAUAUCCUCCGGGCGCUUAGUAAGAUGACCAUGGACACCCUGGGCAAUAUCAGGGCUCUGUUGCUCAAUGUUAACAAGAACCUUGCAGUUGUCAGCAUCAAGACCAACAUCAGCAGAAACAAAUCCAAUGUUACGGCAUGUCUCGCGAACAAUCUUCUCGUAGUCCACAUCAGCCUUGGUAGUAAUCUCCCCAAAAACCAUGACCAUGUUGGUCUUGGUGCAUGUCUCACAUGCAACCUUGCUGUCGGGAUCUUGAGCUAGGCAGGCAUCCAGCACCGCGUCAGAGAUCUGAUCACAGAGCUUGUCUGGGUGACCCUCGUUAACAGACUCGGAGGUAAAUAGGAAGGUCUCUAAUGCCAUUCUGUAAAGCUGCAACAAGAGAAAACCAUAAAUUAGAUACUUAUUUCUGACACGCAGGGGAAAUUAACUUCCAAUUAGGAAGCUUCCUUAGUGUUACAGAUUCUGGAAAAUAACGAAUAUAAAAAGUAUCAUCCUAGUGUAAGAUGCUUUUAACUUUCACUUCUGGUCUGAUCAUGAAGAAUCUGCAUAUUAUUGUCUGCUUGCUUUUGCAAAAGAUAUAUUCCCAGCCAUAAAAAAAGGAUCCACAAUACACAGGACAAGAAUACAACUGCCUGCCACACACAAAAGUCGCAAUAUUCUUUUCUUCAGAAGUAUAUUGCCGUUCCAAAAUAUAUAUCUUAUCUGACUAGCACUGAACUAGUCACUACCAGCAGUGAACUGAAUGAAACUUCAAAAUUAAAUUAGAUACCCUUCCCUCCCUGAAUAUGCACAAACAUAACUAAUUUUACAUUGUCAGGGUCAACAUUAAAAAAAAAUUGCCAAAAAAUUGUUAAUUAAUAAUACAAGUGACAAGUCAAUUGUCAAUAUAACAGAUCAUCGAUAGCCUAGCGUCGAGCCCUCCCCCUACUCAAGAUCCAACAUCAUAAAUUCAAAUCUUCAUAAAACUCGCAAUUCCUUUCUUCAAAAGUAUAUCACAGUCAUAAAAAUUAAAUUUCUCCCCUAACUACAAACUAAUUACACAUUUAAAUCAGUUAAAACAUCAUUUUGCAUUUACAAAAACUUCCGAAGAAACCAUAAGCCUAUAUACAAGACUACUUGAUGGUAGCAUUGUGUUCGCCCUAGCCAACCAAGGUCAAAGGUUCGAAUCCUCGCUUAUUCUCCAUAUUCUUAAAAUUUUACACAUUUGAAAUUUUUUAAAAUAUACCUACACACCAAAUACAGUAACUAGCUCUACAAGCUAUUCAGAUAAGUUAUCUGUGUCAGAAACUAGACAUGAACUAAAAGAACACAAGUAUAGCCUAAUAGGACAGAAAGCUAAACAACUGAAGCAGUUACUUUUAGUUUUCACUUCCAAUUCAAGUACAAACACACAUGCUUACAACAGAUCCAGAUAUACACACACUUUCCAAAUCCAGAAACUUGUAGAUCUAGACUUGCCAUAUUCAAGAACCACACCCAAGUCAACAUAACCACUAGAUCUACAACACUAAAAGUCAAACAUGCUCAAACAUUUAAAUUAAUAUUAUAUUUCUUACAUGUAAAUAUAGCAAAGGCAAGUGAAGUUCUAGUUGUAGCAACUUCACAGUAGUAAAGAUAGUAGCAUUACCCAAGAGAGAUUUGUAAUAUUCUCGCUCAACUCGAGAUUUGUCGAAAACAUGUUGCAUGAUAUAUGAAUUUAGUUAUUCGGAA
rnacentral:lncRNA from 1 species